rnacentral:rRNA from 1 species
GAAGUAAAAGUCGUAACAAGGUUUCCGUAGGUGAACCUGCGGAAGGAUCAUUAUUGAAUAAACUUGCACAGGCUGUUGCUGGCCCUCAAGGGUAUGUGCACGCUUGUCAUCUUUAUCUCUCCAACUGUGCACAUAUUGUAGACCUGGAGUCCCUGUUGAUUCAUUUCGAGUUGGGACUGCUGUGCUUUGUACUUCAGAGUCAGCUUUGCCUUUUUCAUACCCAGGUCUAUGUCAUUUUCACAACCUCUUGAAUGUGUUUAGAAUGUUGAAUCAGGUCUUUUUGUACCUAUAAAGUUAAAUAUACAACUUUCAGCAACGGAUCUCUUGGCUCUCGCAUCGAUGAAGAACGCAGCGAAAUGCGAUAAGUAAUGUGAAUUGCAGAAUUCAGUGAAUCAUCGAAUCUUUGAACGCAUCUUGCGCUCCUUGGUACUCCGAGGAGCAUGCCUGUUUGAGUGUCAUUUAAAUUCUCAACCACAUCAAUUUAUUUGGUGAGGCUUGGAUGUGGGGGUGUUUUUGCGGGCUUCUGUAAAUUUGAAGUCGGCUCCCCUAAAAUGCAUUAGUGGUAUCUGAGCAGAAGAAACUACUACAGGUGUGAUAAUUAUCUACGCCUCAGUAUUCUGCACAAUCAGAUUGUGCUGCUUCUAACGAGUGGAGAUUCCUUUUGGGGGACCACAUUUGUUGAAUUUGACCUCAAAUCAGGUAGGACUACCCGCUGAACUUAAGCAUAUCAAUAGCCGG